AGUGCAUGUGGCGGAUGCCUUGGCGAUCACAGGCGAAGAAAGACGCGGCAGCCUGCGAAAAGCUGCGGGGAGCUGGCAAACGAGCUUUGAUCCGCAGAUAUCUGAAUGGGGGAACCCACACCGCAAGGUGUAUCCGUAGCUGAAUACAUAGGUUACGGAGGCGAACGAGGAGAACUGAAACAUCUAAGUAUCCUCAGGAAAAGAAAUCAACCGAGAUUCCGGCAGUAGCGGCGAGCGAACCCGGAGGAGCCCAGCUUUUGAUAGUACGAACUUUAGCCGAAAGGUCCUGGAAAGGCCUGCUAUAGUGGGUGAUAGCCCCGUAGGCGAAAGAGUUGGUACGGUACUAAGGAAGCGAGAAGUAGAGCGGGACACGUGGAAUCCUGUUCGAAGACGGGGGGACCAUCCUCCAAGGCUAAAUACUCGUGAUCGACCGAUAGUGAACCAGUACCGUGAGGGAAAGGCGAAAAGAACCCCGGGAGGGGAGUGAAAUAGAACCUGAAACCGCAUGCAUACAAACAGUAGGAGCCUCGUCAGAGGUGACUGCGUACCUUUUGCAUAAUGGGUCAGCGACUUACAUUCUGUGGCGAGCUUAACCGAAUAGGGGAGGCGCAGCGAAAGCGAGUUCGAAAUGAGCGUUCAGUCGCAGGGUGUAGACCCGAAACCAGAUGAGCUAUCCAUGGCCAGGUUGAAGGUGUGGUAACACACACUGGAGGACCGAACCGACUAGUGUUGCAAAAUUAGCGGAUGAGCUGUGGAUAGGGGUGAAAGGCCAAACAAAUCUGGAGAUAGCUGGUUCUCCCCGAAAACUAUUGAGGUAGUGCCUCGUGUGUCGCUCCAGGGGGUAGAGCACUGUUUUGGCUAGGGGGACAUGGAGUCUUACCAAACCAAGGCAAACUCCGAAUACCUGGAAGCGUAAGCACGGGAGACAGAGCACCGGGUGCUAACGUCCGGACUCAAAAGGGAAACAACCCAGACCGCCGGCUAAGGUCCCAAAUAACAGCUAAGUGGAAAACGAAGUGGAAAGGCCGUGACAACCAGGAAGUUGGCUUAGAAGCAGCCAUCCUUCAAAGAAAGCGUAAUAGCUCACUGGUCGAGUCCUUCUGCGCGGAAGAUGUAACGGGGCUAAGCUGUUAACCGAAGCCGCGGAUGCGCUGGUUAUCCAGUGCGUGGUAGGGGAGCGUUCUGUAAGUCUGCGAAGGCGGUUCGAGAGGACUGCUGGAGAUAUCAGAAGUGCGAAUGCUGACAUGAGUAACGUUAAAGCAGGUGAAAAGCCUGCUCGCCGUAAGCCCAAGGAUUCCUGCUCUACGUUCAUCGGAGCAGGGUGAGUCGGCUCCUAAGGUCAGGCCGAAAGGCGUAGCCGAUGGGAAUCAGGUUAAUAUUCCUGAACCUGCGUCAGAUGCGAUGGGGGGACGGAGCAUGGAAGAUCAUCCGGGUGUUGGAAGUCCCGGUUGUUUAGCGUAGGAGGUCUGCAGGCAAAUCCGCAGACGCAUCUCCAAGGCAAAGACACGUGCCGCUACGGCGGCGAAGUGAUCGGAAGUGCUUCCAAGAAAAGCCUCUAAGCCCCAGUCUGACGCGGACCGUACCGCAAACCGACACUGGUGGGCGAGCUGAAUAUGCUCAGGCGCUUGAGAGAACUCGGGAGAAGGAACUCGGCAAAUUGACACCGUAACUUCGGAAGAAGGUGUGCCGUAGUACCGUGAGAGGAGAGACACCUUGAGCGGGAAACGGUCUCAGAGAAUAGGUGGCUGCGACUGUUUAUUAAAAACACAGCACUCUGCAAAGUCGAAAGACGACGUAUAGGGUGUGAUGCCUGCCCGGUGCUGGAAGAUUAAUUGAUGGGGUGAGAGCCCUUGAUCGAAGUCCCAGUAAACGGCGGCCGUAACUAUAACGGUCCUAAGGUAGCGAAAUUCCUUGUCGGGUAAGUUCCGACCUGCACGAAUGGCAUAACGAUGGCCACACUGUCUCCUCCCGAGACUCAGUGAAGUUGAAAUGUUUGUGAUGAUGCAAUCUACCCGCGGCUAGACGGAAAGACCCCAUGAACCUUUACUGCAGCUUUGCAUUGAACUGUGAACCGAUUUGUGUAGGAUAGGUGGGAGGCAGAGAAGAGGCCACGCCAGUGGCCUUGGAGCCGACCUUGAAAUACCACCCUGAUUUGUUUGCGGUUCUAACCACGGACAGUGAUCCUGUCUUGGGACCGUGCAUGGUAGGCAGUUUGACUGGGGCGGUCUCCUCCUAAAGGGUAACGGAGGAGUACGAAGGUACGCUAGGUACGGUCGGAAAUCGUGCUGAUAGUGCAAUGGCAAAAGCGUGCUUGACUGCGAGAGCAACAACUCGAGCAGAUGCGAAAGCAGGUCAUAGUGAUCCGGUGGCUCUGAAUGGAAGGGCCAUCGCUCAACGGAUAAAAGGUACUCUGGGGAUAACAGGCUGAUACCGCCCAAGAGUUCAUAUCGA
rnacentral:rRNA from 1 species